GAUCCUGGCUCAGGAUGAACGCUAGCGACAGGCUUAACACAUGCAAGUCGAGGGGCAGCACGGGGUAGCAAUACCCCGGUGGCGACCGGCGCACGGGUGAGUAACACGUGUGCAACCAACCCCGUACCGGGAGAUAACCCGCGGAAACGUGGACUAACACCCCAUAACACCUUUCCCCCGCAUGGGGGAGAGUUUAAAAUCACGAUGGUACGGGACGGGCACGCGCGACAUUAGGUAGUUGGCGGGGUAACGGCCCACCAAGCCGACGAUGUCUAGGGG
rnacentral:rRNA from 1 species